AUUUGUUCUAGAAAUUCUGUGGAUAGUGUUAGUGAAAAUGUUCAAGAUAUAAGUAAUCACUUUCUGAAUAUUUUGUGGCUAACUCAGAAUUUGGAAAUACACAGUCCAGAAUUGUAUUUAAAAUCUUUAUAUACAGCAAUAGGUUCUCUAAGGGUGGCAUGCAUAGCUGGGUCAUUUUUGUCCUUUUGCAAAGAGCAGGUAUCAGUGUUAAAAGCCUUUGUUAGUAAAAAUUAAGAGUAAUAACUUUUUUUUUUUUUUUUUAAUAAUCCGAUUUCAGGUACUGUCAAUUGAUCUAACACAAACUGGGUUAUACCAGCUGCUGCAGUGGGGAGUUGAUGCGAAUUCAAAAUUGUGACUAACACAAAUAACAUCUGUGAUAUCCAAAGCAAUAAUGCUGCUGCAGCUAAGACUGAAAUCUCCAUUUCCAACUCCAUUUUUCUCUUCUAGAGGUUUUGGUAUUCAGGAAUGUAUUUGUAAACUGGACAAUUGAGAGAGACACUGGAAGUUUAACCAAGAUUGAAAAUACGAUACAGUAUUCUGCCACAAAACUCUUGAGGCUGCAUCUCUUAUUCCAACAUUUGAUCAUAUCUAUGUCAGCAAAAACAAGCAUCAAGGAUGUACUGCUUAAAAACAGACCUGCGUUUGUUUUCUUGAUUUGAUUCCUUGGAGAUGACUAGGUAUAGUUGGUGAUAUGAGGAAACUAUACAGUCUCAAUCAACUACAUCUGGGAUUCUGACAGAUUAUUUUUUUUUAAUAUGAAAAUAAGCUUAUAUACUUCAGAAAAUGCAUAAAACUUAAGAUCAGUGCAUCUUCUCCUCUCAGACUCGAAAGUCAAUUAAAAGAGGAUUUCUUU